rnacentral:rRNA from 1 species
ACGCUCGACACCUACGGGAGCAGCAGUGGGGAAUAUUGCACAAUGGGGGGAACCCUGAUGCAGCGACGCCGCGUGAGUGAAGAAGUACUUCGGUAUGUAAAGCUCUAUCAGCAGGGAAGAAAAUGACGGUACCUGACUAAGAAGCCCCGGCUAACUACGUGCCAGCACGCCGUAGUAUCNGNGGCGNGNGAGAG